UCUUUGCUAGUAUAUCGGUUAGUACACGCGCCUGUCAUUGUGAAAACGCGCGAAAGCUGGGUUCGACUCCCAGGCAGAGAG